GAUGAAGAACGUAGCGAAAUGCGAUAAGUAGUGUGAAUUGCAGAAUUCAGUGAAUCAUCGAAUCUUUGAACGCACAUUGCGCCCUUUGGUAUUCCUUAGGGCAUGCCUGUUCGAGCGUCAUUUAACCCCUCAAGCUCAGCUUGGUGUUGGGCGUCCUGUCCCCCCCCGGGGGACUCGCCUCAAAUCGAUUGGCGGCCGGUACGUUGGCUUCGAGCGCAGCAGAAACGCGAACUAGAUGCCCGGCGGGCCGGCUCCCACAAGCCACACCUCUUAUUUUGACCUCGGAUCAGGUAGGGAUACCCGCUGAACUUAAGCAUAUCAAUAAGCGGAGGA
rnacentral:misc_RNA from 1 species